rnacentral:rRNA from 1 species
UACGUAGGCAGCGAGCGUUGUUCGGAAUUACUGGGCGUAAAGAGUGUGUAGGCGGUGCUCUAAGCUCGGUGUGAAAUCUCCUGGCUCAACUGGGAGGGUGCGCCGGAAACUGGAGUGCUUGAGCGUGGGAGAGGAAAGCGGAAUUCCUGGUGUAGCGGUGAAAUGCGUAGAGAUCGUAAGGAAGGCCAGUGGCGAAGGCGAGUUCCUGGACAGUUACUGACGCUGAGGCACGAAGGCCAGGGGAGCAAACGGG